UACGAAGGGGGCUAGCGUUGUUCGGAAUUACUGGGCGUAAAGCGCACGUAGGCGGGUCUGUAAGUAGGGGGUGAAAUCCCCGGGCUCAACCCGGGAACUGCCUUCUAGACUGCAGGCCUGGAGGUCAGGAGAGGCGAGUGGAAUUCCGAGUGUAGAGGUGAAAUUCGUAGAUAUUCGGAGGAACACCAGUGGCGAAGGCGACUCGCUGGACUGAUACUGACGCUGAGGUGCGAAAGCGUGGGGAGCAAACAGG
rnacentral:ncRNA from 2 species